GAGGCUUUAGCUUAAUUAAAGUGUCUGAGUUGCAUUCAGGUGAUGUAGUGUAGUAAUAUUACAGGCCUU
rnacentral:tRNA from 1 species